CCUCUAGUGGCGUAGGGGUAACGCGCCCUAACUCUAGAGAUCAGGGAGUCGUGAGUUCGAUUCUCACUGAGAAGA
rnacentral:tRNA from 1 species